rnacentral:rRNA from 1 species
AGUGUAGGCGGUUGCCUAAGUCGGAUGUGAAAGCCCCGGGCUUAACCUGGGAAUUGCAUUCGAUACUGGGUGACUAGAGUUUGGUAGAGGUAAGUGGAAUUCCGGGUGUAGCGGUGAAAUGCGUAGAUAUCCGGAGGAACAUCAGUGGCGAAGGCGGCUUACUGGACCAAAACUGACGCUGAGGCUCGAAAGCGUGGGUAGCAAACA